GCAAAAGAUAAAAUAUAAUUCAUAAAUAAAUAAGAUCACUUAGUUAUGUUGCUGGUUCAUGCUGUAAUUAGUUUAUGCGGGGGUGGGUUUUGGUAUCUCAAACAUUUGUUACCAGUAAGCGUUUUAUUAGGUGUUUGGUAUGAUGGCAGUUGUGUUGUGUGUAAAAUAGAUAAAACUGUGUUGUGAUGUUAUUUUUUUAGUUUAUUGUAAUGUUUGUACCAAAGUGAUGUGUCCAAUGUAUAUUUAUGUAGGCGGAAAUUGCUCAUUUUAUUGAAAACGAUUAAAGCAAUCAUUACUUUCUUUCGCGCAGUAUCUCUAUCUCUAAAGAAGCCUACGUAUUUGUUUAAGAGCAGUACUUGGUCGUUGAUAAAAAGUUACACAUAUGCCUAUCCACUUUUGGAACGAAUCCACAACACAAUUUAUUUCAGUUAACAGCAAAGCGAGUUUUAAUUAUAAAGAACAAUUGUUAAAAGUUUAUGUUAAAAUAUUUUUAUUCUAAAAUAAUGUUAGAUUUACAAAGCAAAUUUAAGAAUUGUUUAAAACCA